AGCCGAGCGCUGGGGCGUAGGGGACCGCGGCUUGGAACUCGGGACGGCUGCAAGCCUGCUCAGGCUGCUUGCCUUCCUCCAUCGCCUUCUUUCGCUGUGCGCGGACCACACGGUGGGACUGUAGCGGCGAAAGAGACUGAGGUCUGGACGCAGUUAUCUGUAACCUCCUGGCGACCCUGACAAGCAGACGCGUUAUUUCAAGAUACUGAAUAUAGUUCCCUGCUCUAUACAGGGAACACAAGUAAGAAUGGAGGGUGCUCUUCCCCCCCACCCCACCCCGAAGGUAACAAAGGAUCAAGGCUUUCUCCGUGAAAUAGCUGCAGAAUGUAAACUGAGGCUGCUGGCAUUUCCCUUAGAGUUUUACUGGGCUCAGUUCAAGAACCACCUCCUCCAAGUUGUCUUCCUGGAUUUACUCAGCCUAAAGUAAUCCUUCUUUUUCCUAGAUAAAUACUGAGCAUAUGCUUUGUGUCAGAUAUUGUUAUAGAUGCUGACGCUUCAUCUGUGAACAAGACCGACCAAGUCUCUGACCUCAUGGAGCUUAUUUCAUAUGUGGGCAACAGAUAAUAAACUGGACUGUGAACACCAAACCAGCUCUCCAACCUGACAGACAGCGCUUGUUUUCUCUAAGGAAAGGGGACAGGACGGGCAGCGCUCACCUGUUUGACAGGGGCGACUACACCUCUUCACGGGAAUUCUCGGAUCCUUGAAACAACACUUUCAGGGCUCAGCAGAAUGGACAUAGGAACAGCAGUGGUCGAUGGUUGCAUUGAUCCAAAUUUGGAAGUUGUGUGGCAGUCUGUGAAAAAUGGAAUCCUGCCAACAACCAUGUGACUGAACUUGGAAGCAGAUCCUUCCCAGUGGAGCCUUCGGAUGAGGUGACAUCCCUGGCCAGCGCCUUGAUUGUGGGCUUGCGAGAGGCCCUGCAGCAGAAGACCCAGCUAAGCCACGCCUGGAUUCCUGAAAACCAGACUGCUCUCUGCCAGGAUCUCUAGAGCCUCACAUUGGUCAAUGCCCCUGAAGAGGGCAGAGUCCAGCCUCAGGCCUCUAGCCCACCCUCUUCCUGGGAAGAAAAUGCCUCUGCUCUGAAGGCAGCCAGCACAUAUUUUACUCACAACAGUCAGCAGAUGGCUGUGGAUCCCUUCUGUUCCCAGGAAUCACAUCGGAACUAACCGCGCUGUGCAUUUUCCAUCACUGGUAGUUAUCCCAACGGUGACAUGGGGCAUCAUUAUUAAUAGGUGAAGGACAAAGAGAGAGGGGAAGUGGCUUGGGCUGAGUCACACAGCAAAGUUAGAACUCCGAUCUCCCAGCAACGAACGUCGCCCUGGGCUCUGUCCCCCACACCUGGCAGCUCCAGAGACUUGCUCCUUUUUGUACUCUGGGCAACGAACUCUCUAGCUAACCAAGCGGGUCUGACUUGUCUUACAGAGAAAUGAAGCAAACUUUUCUUCGGGAUGGUAUAUUAUGAUCUUUCUGUUUCUACUGGUUGGCAGGAAACUGAGUCCCCCCUACUUACUGAAUGACCUGGAACACAUCAUCGAAAGUUCCUGGACCCUCAGUUUUCCCUUCAGUAAAAUGUAGACAGAUUUAUUGGUGCCUACCCCCAGAGAAACUGGAUGAGCUAGGGAGAGGAGUGGGGUGCCCUUAUCCAAUCUAUUCUGCAUUACCCUUUACACGGGUGAACUUCAAACCUGGCUGAGCAUGAUAAUCACAUGGGUGGCCUUUAAAAAUACAAAUUCCUGGGCCUUGCCCAGCCUGGCUUACUUGGAUUUCUUCUCCUUUCUUCUGGCCAAGUGGCCCCCAGGGUGAAGGGAACCCCCUUGAUUUAAGCAGCGGGGUGGUCUUUAACUUUUCUAUGUAAAUCCUCUCCUACUCAGCUUAAAGGAACCUUUGCUACGAGAUGGGAAGCAUUGCGUUCUGUCUCCUCUGAGCUCUCCCUUGGACUCACUGUUCCCCCAAUUUUGGCACUUCUCACAUACUGCUUGUUAUUUUUACUUAACUGUUUCAGAUCUUUGCCUCCUGUUUCCUCAGUUAGCUACUGGAGGGUAAAAACCAUGACCUACCCUUCUCUUAUUGCCCCGCAAAUGCCAGCUCCAUUAGCACCUAGUAUCUCUUCAAUAAAUGUUUGUUGUAUGGCAAAUCUUGUAAUUCGGAAAUCUGAAAUAAUUUCUUAUUUAUUUGGGAGACAUUCUGUGUCCUUUGGAAGCUUUCUGGUCACAUGGAAGGAACUUUAAACAAAGAGGCAAGAGCCCUAACUUCCAAUCUUGGCUCUGUCACAAACUCCCAUCGUGACCUGCAGCAAGUCGCUUGCCUUCUCUAGCCCUCGAUUCCCUCACUUGUGAAACCAGGGCCGAUCUGUAAAGUUGCUUUUAGCUCUGGAUUUUUUGGCUGCUCUAGAUAGCAAGGGGCAGCCUUUUUCAUGUCAAUGUCUUUAAUGCCCACCACGCCUAAUUUUUUUUUCCUCUAAGGACUACAUAAUCGAUGGAUCACCUCCAGUUUAUAAAGUGAGAAACUCAAGUAAAGAACAAGUAAAUGCUUUGGCCAAGCUUCCAUGCAUAGCAUGAGUGUGUGUGUGUGUGUGUGUGUGUGUGUGUGUGUGUGUGUGUGUGUGUGACAGAGAGAGAGAGAGAGAAAGAGAGAGGGAGAGAGUGUGUGUGUGUGUGUGGCGCUGUCGCUCAUUCCUCACUGCAGCUCCCUGGCUUUGACUGGAUUCUUCCAUCCCAGAGCUGUUACCAGUCCUUCUCAAGUGUAGGACUGUUAACCCUUAAUUAUCUGCAUGCCCACUCUCUCUGUGAACAACACAGGGCAAAGGUAUGACAUGUUCUAGCUGGGUUUCCUCUUGUCCCUCUGCACACUCCCAUGUAGGGUCAGAAUGUCCACUGCAGUGUUCAGUACAGUUUGUUCAAAUACUGUCCCUGAGGAGGAAAUGAAAGACAUAAGACAGUAGUCCUUGCCCUCUAGUUGACCUGGGAGGCCGGGACAAGAAUGUGUGAGGAAAAGCUGCCACCAUAUAUAAGGGAGGACCUGGGAGCCAAGUGCUGCUUUGCUGUAUCUCCAAUACCUAGAACAGUGCCUGGUUACAUAGAAGGUGCUCAGCAAAUAUGUUAAAAGAGGUGAAAACUGCCACAGUUUUCAAACUUUUUAAUUUUAAGGAAGGGAAAGCCUUUCUUCAAUGAAAUCAUCCCCAAAGCUCACUACAUGAAACAGGUGGGUGCAAGGUUGCCCUGGUUGAAGGGAGCUAGAGUCGAACCCUGCCUGCUGUCUCCUCUGGGCCCCAGAGAGAAUCCUGAGCCCAGUUGGAAAACUUGCUGUAAGUCAGUUGAAAAGGAGGGGCCGAUCAACUCUUGCUCUUUUUCUUGGUUAACCCUAGCCGGAGGGGAUGCUGGCAAAAUAAAUGGAGGUUGGAAGGACCCAGCCCUCUAAAGGGAAUAUUUGCAUCUGAAAAAGCGUUCUCAAUUUCUCCUCUCCCCUCAUCGUCAAGUUCCAGGGAACUUCAAUUAUUAAGGACGGAGGAGAAGAAGUUUUGAGUAGGAGAUUUGUGAGUUGGUCCACAAAUGAAUAUCAAUGGAAUGUUUGUUUAAAGAAAGAAGGAAAGACAAGCAUUGUAAUGAUCUCCAGUAUUCAAUAGAAACCCACUGGGUGUUAUCCUACAGGCAGUCCUGAUUUGAAAAUGCAAUGUAAAACUCUCACGUGGCCUCUGGUCAGUGAGUGGAUGGUGCUGCCUUUUGCACCAUUGCACCCUGCAACACGCUGGCAG